AAUAAAAAAAAAACACAUUUAUUAUCACCUCAUUCCUACAUACAUACACAGCGUCAAGUUCUGGAUCGCUCAAAUCUCUAGUGCCUAGAAAAGAUGACAUCAGGGACCUCCUUGUUCCUUCUGCUUCUUCUGUUCUGUGGACGACCAACUGCAGGAAAUGCUUUGCCAAAAACUAAAACUAAUACUUAUGUACCAACAGUGAAGCCGGGGGUGUGCCCUCAAGUCACUUUUCCAGAUAAGUGUCCCGAUGAACCGCCACCUCCAAAAUCCUGCAAUAACGAUUUAGAUUGUACUGGAGAAAAGAAAUGCUGUCCAUUUCCCUGCGACAUAGUAUCAUGUUUUUGAUGAGUGGUUGGAAGAUUAUCGGCAAAUAAAGUGUUGACCAAGGAUAACCACAGAAGGAUAGGUUUCCUCGUAUUACAGAUCUGCAGUGAUCAGUGGAUCGGCCUUUAUAUAUCCGUCAUAUAAACUUGUCAGUAGUUGUAGUGACAGGAGUCUUGUGAGUUGCAAAUGAUUAGGGUUAUUGUUCUCUAUCUCCAUGAUUAGUUUCGCUUAUCACUGAUUGUGACAUUUCGCUUUUAUAAAUUUAUUAACAAAUUUAUAGGUUGUGCAAGAAGAAUUUUCUAAUCAUAAAAUCAGUAGAAUUUUGAUUUAUUGGAAUGUGGCUCUUUUCUUACAUCAGAUCUGGAGGUUCCAGAGUCCGUUUCUGUGAUCAGGCUUAGCUUCUCCAUGUUCUAUUAAUAAAUCUGUGAGAUGCAGUGAUGAGAGAUUGUGUCCGAUCAUCUGUUCAGAAUCCAUUCAUACAGGCACAGAUACAAAAUUCUGUCUGGGUUAAGUCAGUGUGCAUUCUGAAGAUAUGUUAAAUUUUUGUGACCAGUAUAAAUCACGGCUGGGUGACUUGAUCCCUCCAGAAGAUAACACCACUCCUUUAAAGGGUUUCUACCACCAGAUUUUCACCUAUUUAGCUGUCUGACACUAGCGAUCUGCUAGUGUCUGCUGUACCUAACCGUGUUCAUGUAUUACCUUUGUCUGGAGC